AGAGUUUGAUCAUGGCUCAGGAUGAACGCUGGCGGCGUGCCCUAACACAUGCAAGUCGAGCGAUCUCUUCGGAGAGAGCGGCGGACGGGUGAGUAACGCGUGGGUAACCUGCCCUGUACACACGGAUAACAUACCGAAAGGUAUACUAAUACGGGAUAACAUACAAAAGUCGCAUGGCUUUUGUAUCAAAGCUCCGGCGGUACAGGAUGGACCCGCGUCUGAUUAGCUAGUUGGUAAGGUAAUGGCUUACCAAGGCAACGAUCAGUAGCCGACCUGAGAGGGUGAUCGGCCACACUGGAACUGAGACACGGUCCAGACUCCUACGGGAGGCAGCAGUGGGGAAUAUUGCACAAUGGGCGAAAGCCUGAUGCAGCAACGCCGCGUGAGCGAUGAAGGCCUUCGGGUCGUAAAGCUCUGUCCUCAAGGAAGAUAAUGACGGUACUUGAGGAGGAAGCCCCGGCUAACUACGUGCCAGCAGCCGCGGUAAUACGUAGGGGGCUAGCGUUAUCCGGAAUUACUGGGCGUAAAGGGUGCGUAGGUGGUUUUUUAAGUCAGAAGUGAAAGGCUACGGCUCAACCGUAGUAAGCUUUUGAAACUAGAGAACUUGAGUGCAGGAGAGGAGAGUAGAAUUCCUAGUGUAGCGGUGAAAUGCGUAGAUAUUAGGAGGAAUACCAGUAGCGAAGGCGGCUCUCUGGACUGUAACUGACACUGAGGCACGAAAGCGUGGGGAGCAAACAGGAUUAGAUACCCUGGUAGUCCACGCCGUAAACGAUGAGUACUAGGUGUCGGGGGUUACCCCCCUCGGUGCCGCAGCUAACGCAUUAAGUACUCCGCCUGGGAAGUACGCUCGCAAGAGUGAAACUCAAAUGAAUUGACGGGG
rnacentral:rRNA from 1 species